rnacentral:rRNA from 1 species
AGCGGCGGACGGGUGAGUAACGCGUGGGAAUGUACCCUUCUCUAAGGAAUAGCCACUGGAAACGGUGAGUAAUACCUUAUACGCCCUUCGGGGGAAAGAUUUAUCGGAGAAGGAUCAGCCCGCGUUGGAUUAGAUAGUUGGUGGGGUAAUGGCCUACCAAGUCUACGAUCCAUAGCUGGUUUGAGAGGAUGAUCAGCCACACUGGGACUGAGACACGGCCCAGACUCCUACGGGAGGCAGCAGUGGGGAAUCUUAGACAAUGGGGGAAACCCUGAUCUAGCCAUGCCGCGUGAGUGAUGAAGGCCUUAGGGUCGUAAAGCUCUUUCGCCAGGGAUGAUAAUGACAGUACCUGGUAAAGAAACCCCGGCUAACUCCGUGCCAGCAGCCGCGGUAAUACGGAGGGGGUUAGCGUUGUUCGGAAUUACUGGGCGUAAAGCGCACGUAGGCGGACUAGUCAGUCAGAGGUGAAAUCCCAGGGCUCAACCCUGGAACUGCCUUUGAUACUGCUAGUCUUGAGUUCGAGAGAGGUGAGUGGAAUUCCGAGUGUAGAGGUGAAAUUCGUAGAUAUUCGGAGGAACACCAGUGGCGAAGGCGGCUCACUGGCUCGAUACUGACGCUGAGGUGCGAAAGUGUGGGGAGCAAACAGGAUUAGAUACCCUGGUAGUCCACACCGUAAACGAUGAAUGCCAGUCAUCGGGCA